rnacentral:lncRNA from 1 species
CGAAUUCUGCCAUCAUCUCCACAACCGCGGAUCAUCCUUUGAUCUCCCCGUGAAUUGCAACAGGUUCUGGUUUCCUACCUUACUGCUGCUGCAAUUUAGUUAUCUUUAUUCAAAAAUCCAAAAAAAAAAAACUGUUCCUAUAUUGCUGCAUAAACCUUUCGUCACAAAGUUUUCAUCUCUACGACGAAAGAUAUAUUGCAGAAUUCCAGCCGCA